GGCCCUUACAAGCCUGGGACAAGCCUGGGUGGAAUUCUAUAUUGAGGAGUUAAUCCUAAUAAAAAAUGAUUACAGAAGAGGACGCCUCCACCCACAGGAAGGAGCCAGCACGGUGGGGAGCUGUUUCACCAGGGGAGUGUUCUCAGCAGCUGCCACACGUGGAGUUGUGGAGCAGGAUCUUGGCAGUGGACUGCCACGGGAGCUCUGGGGAAAAAGGACCAGUUGGACUCCAGUACCUCCUGAGAGACCACCACCCUCCAUGCCUCCAGCUCAUGCCCAGCUCUGAGUCAGACGGACUCUUCCUGUUGUACUGCGAGGUUCUGCAAACCUUGAAGGGCAAACACAGUGAGGGUCUCUGACUUGCUGUGUGGACAGCCCACUCUCUGACAGCCCAGAUCAUCUGAAGCUAUCCCUGGGCUGGGAGCUGGAAGCCAUUCUUGUGAACCACUCCUUAUACCUUGAGCGAAGCCUCUUUGGGUCCCAGAAGUCUGAAGCUCCAGCUGCCUGGCAAGACUGAGUCUAGAUGAUUUCUUGGGUACCAGUAGUUUGGCAUUUAAAAAUACUGGAUUAACUGCAGUGUAAACUUAGAUUGCAUUUCAGAUUGUAAACAAUAACCCCCGUGCUUCAUGUGAUGUUAAAUCAGAAAUGAGCUAUUAGCCAAGCUAGUCCUCUUAUGAAUGAGCCCCUAACCCUGAUCCAGGGAUCGUUGAAUGAAAAUCAUCAAAAUGAUUUAUCUUCACUUUACCUAUUGUCUCACAAGAAUCUCAUCACUCAGGGAAAAGGAGGGUGUUCUUCAGGGAACGGAGGGCAUGAGGAAGGGGGAUUUCCUUAUAUCUCAACUUUCAGAGGGAGCUGAGUUGUAAACAGAUGGAACAAGGUGUGUACGAGAAGC
rnacentral:lncRNA from 1 species